rnacentral:rRNA from 1 species
GACGAACGCUGGCGGCGUGCUUAACACAUGCAAGUCGAACGGGGAUAGUUCGAGUGGAAGGCUUCGGCCGGAAGGUUGGAUAUUCGAGUGGCGGACGGGUGAGUAACGCGUGAACAAUCUGUCCCAGACAGGGGGAUAACACUUGGAAACAGGUGCUAAUACCGCAUAAGACCACGGGGUCGCAUGGCCGAGGGGUAAAGGAGCAAUCCGGUUUGGGGUGAGUUCGCGUCCGAUUAGCCAGUUGGUGAGGUAACGGCCCACCAAAGCGACGAUCGGUAGCCGACCUGAGAGGGUGAUCGGCCACAUUGGAACUGAGAGACGGUCCAA